UACAUGGGGUGCAAACGUUGCUCGGAAUUAUUGGGCGUAAAGCGCACGUAGGCGGUCGCUUAAGUCGGAUGUGAAAGCCCUCGGCUCAACUGAGGAAGUGCAUCCGAAACUGAGUGGCUAGAGUAUGGUAGAGGGUCGCGGAAUUCCCGGUGUAGAGGUGAAAUUCGUAGAUAUCGGGAGGAACACCAGUGGCGAAGGCGGCGACCUGGGCCAAUACUGACGCUGAGGUGCGAAAGCGUGGGGAGCAAACAGG
rnacentral:rRNA from 1 species